GUGGGUAUAGCUCAGUGGUAGAGUGUGUGCUUAGCAUGCAUGAGGUCCUGAGUUCAAUCCCCAGUACCUCCA
rnacentral:tRNA from 1 species